UCAGAUGAUGAUGGCCAUCAGUCAAGUGAUCCAAUCAGUACCUUUCAAAGUUCUGAGGACAUCUUGAAUUGGAUCGGUUGUCAAGUUGAUGAGACAAACACAUUUUCCAUCUGUGUGAACUGAUCUCUACAACAAAGGCAUGCAACAGAUGCAACGGCAGAAGAAGACCUCACCCAAAUGUAGACUUAAGGUCACAUUCUUUGCCGAGGCAGGCAUUGAUACUGGUGCUCUUACCAAAGAAUUCCUCACAGAAAUGCUGGUAGAAAUAGAAAAAAAGACUCCUUGUUGAAGGUCCAGAUAAGAAAGGGAAGAAUCCCGUUUACUGCCUUAACAGUUUGGACUGUAACUACUUCAGGACUGCAGGAGAAGUCAUGGCAGCUAGUCUGGCACAAGGCGGACCUUGCCCUAACUUCCUGCGUGAGUGGUGUUCAGAUAUCUCUGCUGGGGUGACUCUGACAGCAUUCAAGUGUCUGCCAGUGAUGUCACAGAUUUGGAACUGUCACAGCUAAUUGUAAAGAUAAACAGUGCCAGUGAUGACAACAUCAGAGACCUGAUUGGUGACAUUGUGACCUGCGAAUACACUGGAAUUGUGUAUGUGGAUAAAAGGGACAGCAUGAUAAGAGCUGUUAUACUUCACUCCACCAUGAGACUCAUCCCGAUGCUUGACCAGCUCAGAAAAGGCCUGCAGCUCUAUGAACUACCAAAGAUCAUGAAGACCCAUCAAGACCUUUUCCAACCACUGUUUGUUACAGGGGAAGAUGAUAAGGUGGAUGCAGUCUUCAUUCUGGAGAACAGCCGCCCUGUCUUCAGCGAGAUUGGUUCUGCCAAACACCGCAUGGAAACAAACAUCAUGAACUUUUUCCAGGACUACCUUCAGGAAAUUGAAGAUUCUGGAACAAGAUGGCCCAAGCAACAACAACAUUGCUCCAGAAAGUUUGACAGUUGGACAAAUCAUGCAGUGGCUCACCGGACAGGGACACAAGCCCCUUCUGCCAAGUGAAAAGAAGGACUUUGUCAUAAAUGUGAGAUUCCACCAUGACUGUGACACACAUCACACUGUUUGUUUUCCUAUUGUCAGCGCCUGCAGUCGUAUAAUCACAUUUCCCUCAGCGCACCUGAAAACAUUCAGUGAAUUCAAAAACAUCAUGACACUAGCCAUAUGCCAUGGGCAAACCUUUGACAGGGUGUAACAACUCACUCCAACGGAAAA